AACGAACGCUGGCGGCAGGCUUAACACAUGCAAGUCGAGCGCCCCGCAAGGGGAGCGGCAGACGGGUGAGUAACGCGUGGGAAUCUACCCAUCACUACGGAACAACUCCGGGAAACUGGAGCUAAUACCGUAUACGUCCUUCGGGAGAAAGAUUUAUCGGUGAUGGAUGAGCCCGCGUUGGAUUAGCUAGUUGGUGGGGUAAUGGCCUACCAAGGCGACGAUCCAUAGCUGGUCUGAGAGGAUGAUCAGCCACACUGGGACUGAGACACGGCCCAGACUCCUACGGGAGGCAGCAGUGGGGAAUAUUGGACAAUGGGCGAAAGCCUGAUCCAGCCAUGCCGCGUGAGUGAUGAAGGCCCUAGGGUUGUAAAGCUCUUUCACCGGUGAAGAUAAUGACGGUAACCGGAGAAGAAGCCCCGGCUAACUUCGUGCCAGCCGCCGCGGUAACAC
rnacentral:rRNA from 1 species